GACGAACGCUGGCGGCGUGCUUAACACAUGCAAGUCGAACGGAAAGGCCCUGCUUUUGUGGGGUGCUCGAGUGGCGAACGGGUGAGUAACACGUGAGUAACCUGCCCUUGACUUUGGGAUAACUUCAGGAAACUGGGGCUAAUACCGGAUAGGAGCUCCUGCUGCAUGGUGGGGGUUGGAAAGUUUCGGCGGUUGGGGAUGGACUCGCGGCUUAUCAGCUUGUUGGUGGGGUAGUGGCUUACCAAGGCUUUGACGGGUAGCCGGCCUGAGAGGGUGACCGGCCACAUUGGGACUGAGAUACGGCCCAGACUCCUACUGGAGGCAGCAGUGGGGAAUAGUGGACAAUGGGCGGAAGCCUGAUGCAGCAACGCCGCGUGCGGGAUGACGGCCUUCGGGUUGUAAACCGCUUUCGCCUGUGACGAAGCGUGAGUGACGGUAAUGGGUAAAGAAGCACCGGCUAACUACGUG
rnacentral:rRNA from 1 species